UUCGCAAUUAAUACUCGCUGCGAGCCAAUAAGUGUCGCACACACAUAACGAAAUAUAGUAAAUCCCCUUUCAAAGGACAUUAGAUCUUACACCGUUUAAGUGAGUGGUCAAAUUCAAAUGUGAGUUUCGAUAUUGAAUUCCAGGGCUGAGAUCUAACCCUCGUUUAUCGGACGCCGUCUGUCUGUAUCAGCAACAUAGCAUACAGCAGCAGUGAGGCUUAAUGACAACGGUUCAAUAGGAUCGAGGUCAACGAAAAAACCAUCUCGGCUGACCCUGUCUCGAAUGGAAACCGAAGACUGCCAACACCAAAAUGUAGAUGCAGUCUCCUAUUUUGUGAAGUAGCACACAAUAAAGAUGUAAGAAUACCGCUGAUCUAUGUAUGUAUGAAUACGGAAAUAGUAUGAACAGAAUAUUUACCAAUUGGGCAAAUAAAACAUGUAUUGAACUACA